rnacentral:lncRNA from 1 species
UGAGGAACCUUAUUGGCUAGUUUAAAUCAAGCAUCUUUGACUACUCAUGCUUCUUAUCCUAGCUAGACUGAACCUGGACGUUUUUGUGUAUCUCUUAUCUAUAUAUGUUGUAAACUCUCUCAUUAAUCAAUCAAAUGGAGUUUUGAGUCUCUCUCUCUCUCUUGUUCUUAAUCUCCAAUCUCUUUAAUUCUCAGAUUAAACUUAAUCACUCUUUAAAUCACAAAAUCUAAUAUGGUAUCAGAGCCAGGUUCCUUUAAAAGGAGAGAGUGAUUUCGUUUUUCCAAAUGUUCUUGAGUGUUCUUGAGUGUUCUUGAGUGUUCUUGAGAGUUCUUGAGAUUUUUUCAAGAGCUAGAUCCUUUAAAAGUCAAGUUUGUGUCUGUUGGUGUUUCUUUUGGAGAGUCAGCUUCAAGGGAGUCCCUUUAGGUGUUUGACAAGGUCAGAAGAGGUGUCUAGCUUGUGGUUAAGCUUGGCGUGAGAG